AACCAAUUUUUGAACAGCCACAAGUAUUUAUGGCAAGCUGACUGCACUGAGAGUACAGUGGUGGAAAAGACCCAGUUCCUCGAAAAUGUUUAGAGCAACGUUAUUCCUCAUCCCCAAAGGUGGAAACUAUUAAAAUGCCCUUCAACAGGAAAUGGAUAAAUAUGAGAUGACAUAGAGGAUAGAAUAUUACUCGGCCGUAAAAAGGAAUGAAGUAGUGAUACAUACAACGACGUGGUUGAACCUUAAAAAUAUGUAUGCUAAAUGAGAGAAGCCGGAUGCAAAGGGCCAUAUAUAAUAUGAUACCAUGUACAUGAAAUAUCCAGCACAACCACCUGGCAGCCAGGCAAGCUGACUGAGGAGGAAGGAGUUACAAGGAUGAAUGAGAUGAAGACUCUGUCUGCUGUCUAGCCAGCUUACAUUCUAAUGCCCGCAGACAACUGUGAAAUGAGGUAGAGCAGUGCAUGCCCUGGGAGAGGGUCCUGUCAAACUCUCGGGUGCAAGUCCAGGAGGUGGAAAGGAAAGAAUCUCCAUCCAGGAGAUGGACUCACUUUAUACCCACGCAGGGACCCAUGGUUAUGAGGAUGCCAUGCCUCAGGCUUUGUCUUCGCAUUUUAUUCCAUCGGUAGAAGAGGCCAGUUAGGCAUCUGGCAUGUAGUGUCCGGGUUCGAUCAGCAACUUGCUGAGAAUGAGGGAUGUGCUCCAACUGCGGGCUGAUCCUGGUCUCUUACUUUUCUCUCUCCAGAAGUUGCCUGCCUGGCUUUCCACAGGCUCUGGGGUGGUCUGUUAGGGGCAUGAGGUGUUGAGGGGAAGGAGAUCCUCUAGCUGGGGUUUCACUCUGCCCAAGAGGGGGCUCGGUACUUUCACUGUAGGUAUUCCUCAGAGUUGUCCUUUGAAACAGGCAUUGUAACCAUCCCUCUUUUGCUGACGAGGCCCAGAAAGAUGAAGAGAUCUGUCUAAAUCACGAAGUCAAGAAGUGAUGGAGUCAGGAUUCGACCCAAGACCUGGGGCCCUGCACAGGCUCUUUGUGUGGGCUUCACCCCACAGCCUUCCUGUCUGGCUAAGAACCAGUGCUACAGAGCCUAAACCUGAAUUAGGACAAGCCCUCCAACUGAAAACAUUAAAGGGAACAUUAGCAGAAAGCUGAAAAUAUUAAGAACUAGUCAUUUAAAAUAUGCAUGGCCCAGACCUUGCCCUCCCCGGUGACCAAGGCUCACUGCCUCGAGACCUUCCAGCCAGGGGUCCAACGACUGAACUGCUUUUUAGGACAAGGUUGCAUACAUCAGAAGCCAGCUGGCAGCGAGGAUGGGAGGAGAUGGAAAUAACUGGUCAAAUUUUUGCUGGAAAAUCACCUCAGCUGUCUGACAAAAAGGCAGCAAAUGUUGGAACUCAUCUCAGCUGAGCCGCUGCUCUGCGCUCAGAUUGUGGACCUCAAAAGGAAGCAGAGUUCAGUCAGCAGAUAUGGGAAAAGAAAAGGACGGGGAGGUGUUCCCAGCCGGGGCUGUGAGGAGAUGAGAAUUGUCUGGCAGGUGGCAGGUGAGACUUGCAACGCAGAUGUCAAUUUUAAUGCCGCUGCAGUUCUAACUGGGGCUAUGGGUUUCGUGUGAGCCCCAAGAAAUGACUGAUUGGAAAAGAUGUUUUUUUCAAGGAGGAUGAAAGUAAAAAUAAUAAGAGGGACAGGAGAGAGAUCUCAAGAUACCCACCCACGGGACAGAGGAGGAGAUUGUAAAAGUCUUCCCAAGAUCGUAAAUGACAAGUAAGGUGAAAUUAAAAUCCAUUGACAAAAAUAUCCUGUAAUCAUCCCGUAUUUCUGUUGUCUUGGUGCCAAAGUGGGAUUAAUGCCUGAAUCUAAUCUUCCGGGCCGCACAAAGGGUAUUUUUCUUUCCCUGUCAUUUUGUGGCCUGUAUGUGGUGUGGGGGUGAUGAUGGGGGAGGAGAAAGGUGAAAAGGAACCACCCCCCCCAGCAGGAGGUGUGUCCACAGAGCAGCUGGGCUGGGCUUCACCAUGGAGGACCAAGGACCCUGAGGAUGGGCCAGUUUCAGGAGCAGGAGGCAGCAGAUUUGUUUGCUGGAAAACCAAACCAAACCAAACCAAAACCAAAAAGACAGAGGGCCCUUUUGA